rnacentral:rRNA from 1 species
AGUGAACGCUGGCGGUAGGCCUAACACAUGCAAGUCGAACGGCAGCACAGGAGAGCUUGCUCUCUGGGUGGCGAGUGGCGGACGGGUGAGGAAUACAUCGGAAUCUACUCUGUCGUGGGGGAUAACGUAGGGAAACUUACGCUAAUACCGCAUACGACCUACGGGUGAAAGCAGGGGACCUUCGGGCCUUGCGCGAUUGAAUGAGCCGAUGUCGGAUUAGCUAGUUGGCGGGGUAAAGGCCCACCAAGGCGACGAUCCGUAGCUGGUCUGAGAAGAUGAUCAGCCACACUGGAACUGUGACACGGUCCAGACUCCUACGGGAGGCAGCAGUGGGGAAUAUUGGACAAUGGGCGCAAGCCUGAUCCAGCCAUACCGCGUGGGUGAAGAAGGCCUUCGGGUUGUAAAGCCCUUUUGUUGGGAAAGAAAUCCAGCCGGCUAAUACCCGGUUGGGAUGACGGUACCCAAAGAAUAAGCACCGGCUAACUUCGUGCCAGCCGCCGCCGCGG